GAAGGAAGGCCAGGACAAUCAGAGGAGGUGGACCAGGACUAGGCAGAUGCGUAGAAGGGCCAGGAUCAGGUCAAGAAGGUGGGCCAGGACCAGGCAGAGGAGGAGGGCCAUGACGAGGCAGGGGAGAAAAAUCAGGACCAGGCACUGGAGGAGAUCCAGGAGCAGAUGGAAGAGGAGGACAAGUGUCAGGCAGAGGAGAGAGGCCAAGACCAGGUGCCGGAGGAGGGCCUAGACCGGUGGGAGGAUGAGGGCCAGGACCAGGCACAAUAGGCCAGGUGCAGGACGGGGACUGGGGAUGCUGGGGAAGACUCACUUUGCACACUGUCGGGUGUACGUCCUUCUGUGGAGCAAGGUCCGGAGGAGGCAGCGGACUCGUUCCUAUUGCAGGUAGGCUUCUUUCUCAGUCACCCAACCUCCUGCUACGUCUGCUAGCAACUCCACGGCUGCGACCCCCACUUGGGGUCUCUUCUGAGGAGAAACCCCGCUGCUGGAGUGUGAAGGAGGGGCAGGAGAUGGGAUGAGGGCUGCUGGCACCAGGGAGGGGCCUGGGGCCCCAGGGCAGGGACAAUCGGAAGGGAGAGAUCUUUAGGUGGAGAGUAGGUGUCAAGGGCAGCGCCAGCAUAGGGGAAACUGCCCCGAGUAUCGGGGGAAGACUUGUGGCUCGUUGCUGGAGUGACGUUAUCUGUAGAGAAGGGCAGCCGAUGCCACGAGCCCAGGUGGAGCGGCCCCUUCUGGGCACUGGCACCGCCGGGGCAGGGUUAGGAAAGGUUCAGCAGGAGAGGGAGGAAGGAAAGGAAAAUGGAGGAAGAAGCAAGAACAGUCAGGGCGUCCGACAGACAGACAGACAGACAGAAGACUACGGUUGGGACUCAUCCUGGGACAGGAAUUCCAUGUCUUGGUCGACGAGCCACAGAUUAUCCAGACUGAUGAUGAUGGUGUAUACCAAAGAAUGUAUAUCUGUCCCUCUGGGCACUGGCAAAUCUGGGGUGGGGUGAGGGGAGGUCGAGAGGGAGAAGGAUGAAGGGAAGGAAGACGGAGGAGGAAGCACAGAACAGAGAACAAGUCAGACAGAUGGAAAGUCAGAGGCAGAAGACUCCGCUUGGGACUUACCCUGGGAAAGGAAUUCCACGUCUUCAUCCAAGAGCCACAGAUUAUCCAGACUGGUAGUGAUGAAUCUAGUGCUGAGGCCCCGAAGUGAAACCCCUCUCUCUUUGAGCCCGGUCAUUGGCAAAGUGCUCGGAAUGGAGUGGAGAAGAAGAAACCUCAGAAGAAUACCAUGGAAGGGAAGAAAUGACUGUCCAGAUAUGGCAUUAGUCGUAGAGAUGUCAAGAACCCUACUGGGCCUCGGGGUGGGAUGUCAGACUAGGAAUGUGGGUCCUGGCUUGGCGCAAGAAAGUAGACGAGGAGAAAGGACUUGGCAAGCUUGUCCAGCAUGUUGCCCGCACGGCUGACACUGGAUUUGCUGGCCUAAACCAGGUGGCCGUUGUACAGGAGACCUGGUCACACAGAUCUGUGGGCUUCAGGAAGGCCCGAAUAGACUCUGAGAGCCUGGAAGCUUUUUCUCUACCUGAUUUCCUGCCGCUGCUCCCCGAAGAUGCCCCUGAAAGCACUCGGCCUAGAACAACAUUGGACCUAGUCAGUUGGACAACCGUGGCCCUGUGGCGGAGUGUGAGAUCGGCCCGAGCUGCCUUCAGCGUCGCCUGACCAGAGCGAGCCAAACCGACUCCACUCAGGAAAGGCCCCCCCUUCUCCUCUGUUAACCAGAAAUUGUUACAUGCUCUGAGUUGUUUAUGGAUGGGUAUCAAAGACUUGGAGUUUGAGGCCACAACCUGCAGAUAUGGCUCCACAGGGACUUCACAUCACACUUCACAGGGACUGAACAUCUCACCCAAUUGCCCAAUACCUUCCCCACCUGCCGUGUCCACGGAAACACAUUUUGAUGUAGGUUAGGGUCCAUGCGGAAGAAUCUCGAUGUCGCGUGUUACAGGCAGAUAAUCUUUUCCGCAACAUGGCGGUGAUAUUGGGUUGCUUGCCUGGUUAGUCAGGGGAAUAUGAAAUAUUGGGUUGCUUGCCUGGUUGGUCAGGGGAAUAUGAACGCCCAGUUGCCACUUCCACGCCCUCCCCCAUUAAAGCCACAUGCACCCGAGCUAACCCCGACACCUUGCAACCUGGAGGGGAGGCUAGGACAGCCCAAAGGGUGCUUGGCCUACCCACGGGUGCCCAUCCGGAGGCUCCGUAAAGGUCUUGCCGAGUGCUAGAGAGGAAAAGGCGUUUGAGGACCUGUCCACCUGAGAUAGAGGUUGAGGCAAGUGUGCAAACCGCCCCGUGGUGGGGCGAGACAUAGGGUCCCUAAGGGUUGUUUGCCAAUGUCCCUUUCGUUCGAGGUUUACAUAUGUUUUGUGCAAGAGAUGCCCAACUUUUGGAGGUUUUGGCAGUAAAGGCGUAGCUUUUCCAUA